UACGUAGGGUGCGAGCGUUAAUCGGAAUUACUGGGCGUAAAGCGUGCGCAGGCGGCUAUACAAGACAGGUGUGAAAUCCCCGGGCUUAACCUGGGAACUGCACUUGUGACUGUAUGGCUUGAGUACGGCAGAGGGGGAUGGAAUUCCGCGUGUAGCAGUGAAAUGCGUAGAUAUGCGGAGGAACACCGAUGGCGAAGGCAGUCCCCUGGGCCUGUACUGACGCUCAUGCACGAAAGCGUGGGGAGCAAACAGG
rnacentral:rRNA from 1 species